rnacentral:tRNA from 1 species
GGAGAGGUGGCUGAGCGGUCGAAGGCGCUCGCUUGGAAAGCGAGUGUGGGUUAACGCCCACCGCAGGUUCGAAUCCUGUCCUCUCCG